rnacentral:rRNA from 1 species
CAGCCGCCGCGGUAAUACGAAGGGUGCAAGCGUUAAUCGGAAUUACUGGGCGUAAAGCGUGCGUAGGCGGUGAGUUAAGUCUGUCGUGAAAGCCCUGGGCUCAACCUGGGAAUUGCGAUGGAUACUGGGCGACUAGAGUGCGGUAGAGGAUAGUGGAAUUUCCGGUGUAGCAGUGAAAUGCGUAGAGAUCGGAAGGAACAUCUGUGGCGAAGGCGACUAUCUGGGCCAACACUGACACUGAGACACGAAAGCGCGGGGAGCAAACAGGAUUAGAUACCCGCGUAGUCCCUGUCUCUUAUAC